AAAUUGUUGGUGGAACUUAUUGAGAAGUAAGGAACAAGCCGAGCCCUAUUUUGUACAAGGGAAACCCUUUUGGUACCAAAGGGUUGAGGUCCAGGCGAAGGAUCCAGUGGUGGACGGGGAAAGGAGCAAAGCUAGGGGUUUGCUUGUGAUUUGUAAAGAACUGCAACCCCUUUCUUUUGAGCAAAUAUAUUGUAAUGUAUUUAAGAUUAGGGUGCCAGUAGGAUAUGAUUAUGUAUGUGUGUGUGAAUAUGUGUGGAUUGUGUGCUUGUGUAUGAAUUUUUGUCUGUUUGCAGACUUGUGGCUAGGAAACUUGGUUA